UCCUGGUUAGUACAAUGGUUAGUAUAGGACACUCUCAGCGUCGGUCUCCACACGGAGGACGAGCGCACUGUUCAGAUCGGGGUUCGAUUCCCCGGCCGGGAA
rnacentral:tRNA from 1 species